rnacentral:rRNA from 1 species
UACAUAGGUGGCGAGCGUUGUCCGGAUUUACUGGGCGUAAAGGGAGCGUAGGCGGACUUUUAAGUGAGAUGUGAAAUACUCGGGCUCAACUUGAGUGCUGCAUUUCAAACUGGAAGUCUAGAGUGCAGGAGAGGAGAAUGGAAUUCCUAGUGUAGCGGUGAAAUGCGUAGAGAUUAGGAAGAACACCAGUGGCGAAGGCGAUUCUCUGGACUGUAACUGACGCUGAGGCUCGAAAGCGUGGGGAGCAAACAGG